GGGCGGUUAAUUCAGUGGUAGAAUGCUUGCUCGACGCGCAAGAAGUCACUGGUUCGAAUCCAGUACCGCCCACCA
rnacentral:tRNA from 6 species